ACGGAGGGUGCAAGCGUUAAUCGGAAUUACUGGGCGUAAAGCGCACGUAGGCUGUGGUGUAAGACAGAGGUGAAAUCCCCCGGCUCAACCUGGGAACUGCCUUUGAUACUGCAUAACUUGAAUCCGGGAGAGGGUGGCGGAAUUCCAGGUGUAGGAGUGAAAUCCGUAGAUAUGCGGAGGAACAUCAGUGGCGAAGGCAGCCUCCUGGACCGGUAUUGACGCUGAGGUGCGAAAGCGUGGGGAGCAAACAG
rnacentral:rRNA from 1 species